rnacentral:lncRNA from 1 species
UAUUUAUGUGCUAGUAGACCGGAUAUUAUGCUUAGCGUAUGCAUGUGUGCUAGAUAUCAAUCUGACUCCAGGGAAUGUCACCUUGUGGCCGUUAAGCGAAUUCUUAGAUAUUUAGUUUCUAUGCCUUGCUUCGAGAUCUGGUAUCCAAAGGGGUCUACCUUUGACUUGAUUGGAUAUUCAGACUCCGAUUAUGCUCGAUGCAAUGUUGAUAGGAAGAGUACAUCAGGGACGUGCCAAUUCCUAGGAAGGUCCCUGGUGUCUUGGAGUUCAAAGAAACAAACCUCUGUUGCUCUAUCCACCGUUGAGGCCGAGUAUGUUGCCGCAGGACAGUGUUGCACGCACCUACUUUGGAUGAGGCAAACCCUCAUGGACUUUGGCUACAAUCUGAGCAAAGUCCCACUCCUAUGUGACAAUGAGAGUGCAAUCCGCAUGGCGGAUAAUCCUGUUGAACACAACCGCACUAAGCACAUAGACAUCCGACAUCACUUUCUGAGAGACCACCAGCAAAAGGGAGAUAUCGAGGUGUACCAUAUUAGCACCAAGAACCAGCUAACUGAUAUCUUCACCAAGCCGUUGGAUGAGAAAACCUUUUGCAGGUUGUGUGGUAAGCUAAAUGUCUUAGAUUCGCGUAACUUGGAUUGAUCUAUAGCAUACAUGUGUUCUAUGCCUUUGAUCAUGUUACUUUAUGCAUUUAUAUGAUUUGUUGCUUAUUUAUGGUGCUCAAGUUGUGCAAGGGAUCCCUGGACCUCAUAAGUCCAUGUGUGAAUGAUGCAUAUAUUUAGGGGGAGAAGUGCUAUAACUUGACCCUUUGAGACUAACCUUUGUGUUUGAGUAUACUUGAUAUAGUCUCAAAGGUGCAUUGAAAGGGAAAGGUGAACUUGGACCAUGCAAAGACUUUCACUGCACUCUGGUAUUUGUGUACUCACCUCCAAGUUCAUACUUAAGCUCUCAUUGCCACUUUGCUCUUAAUUGACAUUUUUGGUGAGGCAAUGGGGUUAAGAGGCCAAGAAUGAUCCUGUUUUGGUGCUUAAUGCCAAAGAGAGAGAAAUUAAGGCCAAAGCAAAUGGAUCAGCUACCACUUGUGAAUUUUGAAAAAAAUAAAGUUAGAACUUUUGAUUUGUCCAAAAUACUCUUAUUGCAAAAUUUGGUCUCUUGUGGGGGAGAAUUUUGAUUAUGGGAAAAGGGGGAGUUUUUGGCACUUGAUCAAUUUCACUCUUGGAAUAUUUCUCUUUGUGCCCAAACAAGUGAGUUUGACUUAGAGAAAGGAAAAUGAAUUUGAUUUGCAAAAACAAACCAAGUGGUGGCAAAAAAUGAUCCAAAUAUGCCAAAUUAGAGUCGAAUACAAUUUGGUCCUCAUUUGCAUUGAUGUUGCACUUAUUUUGGUUGCUUUUUGAUGUGUUGGCAUAAAUCACCAAAAAGAGGGAGAUUGAAAGGGAAAUGUGCCCUUGGGCCAUUUCUAUAAUAUUUUGGUGAUUAAGUGUCCAAUACAUAGUAAGUGAUUAGCUAUGUGCCAAACAAACAAGAAGUGCAAAUCAUGUAACAAGUAGGGCUGGAUGAAAUACUCGUGGCUCGUUGGCUCGCUCGGCUCGUAGCCUGCUCAGCUCAGCUCGGAUCGGAUCGUUUAAAUUUUUACACGAGCUGAGCCAGCGUCUCAGCUUGGUUUCUUAACGAGCCAGCUCGAGCUGAGCUCGAGCCAGCUCGCGAGCUAACCGAGCUACCACAUUGCAGCAUACCGAUUCGGGCCGGCCUUUCACAGUUUCACUUCUUUGGCCCAUCAGCUGUAAGCCCAGGCCCAGCGCUCACCGCUCAAACAGGCAAACGGCCACGGGCCAUCGCUCUAGGCUCCAAUCUAGCACUCCAGCGUCAGCCGCUCCCACAGUCCCGCUCAGCCACGCCCGCGCGCAAACCAUAGUCGGUGUCUUGGCGAUGGCCGACGGCGGCUCGGCGGUGAUGGCUCGGCGCUCCAAGCCUCCACUCGUCUCCACCGACCACCGGUCAGCGGUCCAGGCUGCGCCGCGGCGCAGCGUUAGCGGGCAGCGGCCAACCGGCCACCGGCAUCACGCGCGGCCGCGCGCCCAAACGGCCACUUCUCCAAGCUCCAGUCCAGCUCCAGCACUCCAGCGUCAGCACUCAGCCGCUCUCGUAGUCCCGCAUAGUCGCGCCCGCACGCAAACCCUAGUUGGUGUCUCGGCGACGGCCGACGGUGACUCGGCGGAUCGGUGCUCCAAGCCUCCACUCGUCUCCACCGACCACCGGUCAGCGGUCCAGGUAGCGCCGCGGCACAGCGCCAGCGGGCAACGGCCAACCGGGCACCGGCAUCACGUGCGGCCGCACGCCCAAACGGCCACCGCUCCAUGCUCCAACAAUUCAGCAUCACUGGCUCACUGCGUCUGCGUCUCAGCGUCUACGUCAGGAUCCAGCGUCACUGCGUCUACGACUGUGUCAGGCUCAGCAUCGAUAUCCAGCCCUAUGGAGGAGAACACUCCAUUGCCAGCAAGUUUGGGGUCUCGAUCUCGAAUUCGAACCAAGCAACUCACAAAGAAGCCACCCAUUUCGAUGCAGAAGAUGUCUGCAGCGACAACAUCAUCGGCGUCCGGCAAUCGGUCUAAUGUUUCUAUAUCUGUGGUGAGUAUCCAAAACUUCAAAUGCUAAGCUUUUGUUGUCUUCACAUUCUUUGUUGUAUGCUAGAUUGUAAUGUUGGAUUGAAAUGCAGGAACCAACAACUAAUUCUAGAGAGGAGGAAGACAAGGAGGAGGACAAUAGCCUCGACAUGGAGGAUGAUUUCUCUCUAAGCCUAUCUUCAGAGGAUGGUGGGAGCCAGGGUGAAGAUGAGGUUCAGGUGGCACAAGUUCAUAAUGCAAAGAGAGGAGUCAAAAAGGCAAAGGGUGAUGUUCCAUUAUCUCCUUCAAAGUGUAAGGUCAAGAGGGUGAAGCGAGCCGAUUGCUGGAAGUAUUUUAAGGUGGUCGAAGUUCAAUCAAAGAAGAAGUUUGGGGAAAUGGUGACGAAGGCCAAGUGCAAGUUUUGUUACAAACUGUAUGUGUAUCAACCUGGGGGGUCCAACAUCACAGCUGAAUCGACAUCUGGAUAAGUGCACUGCCUACCAGAACAAGUUGGCCAAUGCAAAAUCAAAGGUUGCUCAAGGUACUAUCAGCUUCGCUCUUGAUGAUGGUUCUCUUGUUGUUAAUCCCAGUGAAUAUGAUCGUGAUCACACUAGAAAUUUGAUUGCUAAGAUGAUUAUUGUUCAUGAGUAUUCACUUCGAAUGGUAGAGCACAGAUGGUUUAAUAUCUUGAUGAAAUGGAUGAAUAACAGCUAUGAAAGUAUUGGUAGAAAGACUAUAAAAAACGAGUGCAUGAAAGUGUAUGAAUCUGAAAAGGACCUUCUAAAGAAAACUCUUAGAAAGGUUGAAUCCAUAAGUUUGACUACCGAUCUGUGGACAUCUAACCAAAAUGUCCAAUACAUGAGUUUGGUUGCACACUACAUAGAUGUAAAUUGGGAAUUGCAAUGUCGUGUACUAAACUUUGUGGAGUUGGAUCCUCCCCACACUGGUGUAGUGAUAGCUCAAGCUAUUUUAGAGUGCCUGGUUGAAUGAAAAAUUGAAGAUAAAGUUAUCACAAUCACACUUGACAAUGCUUCAAAUAAUGAUGUUGCCAUCACCAAUUUGACAUCCAAGCUUCUUGCUAGAAGGAAGAUGUGCUAAUGGUGGAUGCUAGCCUUUUGGUUUUGGUGGCAUGUUGUUGUCUAGUCUAGUUGACUUGCUGUGCACUUUGUACAUGUCCUGCACUCCUGCUAAGCUGCUAGGGCAGUAGACAGUAGUGCACUAGUCAGUAGUGCCAUCCUUUUGGUGGUUAAGUGGUUAGUGGUUAGUUAGUUGUAAAUUCUAGUGGUUAACUGGUUGUAAGUUCUGGUAGGGCUGGAUAUCGAGCCAGCUUGGCUCGGCUCGGCUCGGCUCGUUAAACAACCGAGCCAGAAGAGCAGCUCGGCUCGGCUCGUUAACGAGCUCGAGCUGGCUCGUUUGGCUCACGAGCCACAGCAAAAAAAUCUGCUGCACUCACCCGUCACACACACACACACACAUAUAUAUAUAUAUAUAUAUAUAUAUAUAUAUAUAUAUAUAUAUAUACUGAUGUACACAAAUACAAAAACAAUUUAACACUAGAAAAUAGUUCAAAAGUGACAACACAAAUCACAUUUCAUAAUCAGGAAUUCAGCCUGCAACAUUCAUGAUUCAUCAGUUCACAAAUCACAACAUUCAUCAGUUCAUGGCUUCAAGCAUCACAGUUCACAACAUUAGAAUUUACAACCAACCAGGCAACCACUAACCAUGCUCCAUGCAUCUGUGAUCAGUCCAUGGCUUCAUGCAUCACACGAUCACAACAUUAAUUCAUGGCUUAAUUUACAAAAGUAGCCACCACACCAGAACUUACAAGGUACGUUUUUAGACUUAGUACAUUGUUUUGAGUACUAACAUAUUUUGUCUAAGUACUAGAAACAGGGAGAAAAGAAUUGGAAAAAGACUUGGCUCUGCGCAGCCAAUUCUCAGCUCAGUCUGGCACACCGGACAGUGUCCGGUGGUGCACCGGAUAGUGUCCGGUGCGCCAGGCUGGUCUCGGGAAAAGUUUGGUGGCGUACGGCUAUAAUUCACCGGACUGUCCGGUGGUACACCGGACUGUCCGGUGAGCCAACGGUCGCCAGCGCAACGGUCGGCCGCGCAAUCCGCGAGCGACGCGUGGCCCGCACCAACGGUCGGCAGGGGGCAUCGGACUGUCCGGUGUGCACCGGACAGUGUUUGGUGCGCCAACGGGCCCGAAGCUGCAACGGUCGGGUGAGCCAGAAAAGAAAGGAGAUCGUGCACCAGACAGCUACAAUGAUUGUCCAGUGGUGCACCGGACUGUCCGGUGCACCACCCAACAAAAGGCAAGUUUGGCCUUCCUUGUUGGCCUCCAACGGCUCCUAGCUGCCUUGGGGCUAUGAAAGGGACCCCUAGGCGCAUGGAGGAGCUACACAAGCAUUCACUAAGCAUCCUAAGGCAUCCAGACUCUGUUCUCGCGCAUUCAUUUCGUUGUGUUAGAGAUUUGAGCUCUAUUCGAGUCAAGGACUCCUUAUGUUGUCAUUUGAGCUCAAGUCUUCUCUUGUGUGCGUGGGUGUGCUGCGAUUUGUGUCUUGUGUGUGUUGCUCAUCCCAACCUUACUCUGUGCUUUCAUUGUGAUAUUUGUUGUAAGGGCGAGAGACUCCAAUCUUGUGGAGAUUCCUCGCAAACAGGAAUAAUCAUCUAAAGGAAAAACCGUGGUAUUCAAGUUGAUCAUCGGAUCACUUGAAAGGGGUUGAGUGUAACUCUCGUCCAUUGGUACGCCACAACGUGGAAGUAGGCAAGUGUUACUUGGCCGAACCACGAGAUAAAAAUCGUGUGUCUUGUGUUGAUCUCUCUGUGAUUAUUUGUGUUCACAAGAACUCGCUUCAAGUUAUUUAGCCGUACUAACACUCAUAACUAAGUUUUGUGGCUAUUAGUGUUUGAAUUUUACAAGAUCACCUAUUCACCCCCCCUCUAGGUGCUCUCAUGUCGAGGUCGAGAUGGGCUUGGCAUCCUUCAUUCCAAACUUAUUGAGUAUGUCUUGAAUAUACUUGGUUUGGCUAAUGAAGGUGCCCUCUUGGAGUUGCUUGACUUGAAAUCCUAGGAAAUACUUCAACUCCCCCAUCAUAGACAUCUCGAAUUUUUGAAUCAUGAUCCUACUAAACUCUUCACAAGUAGAUUUGUUAGUAGACCCAAAUAUGAUAUCAUCAACAUAAAUUUGGCAUACAAACAAAUCUUUUGCAAUAGUUUUAGUAAAGAGUGUAGGAUCGGCUUUACCGACUUUGAAUCCAUUAGUGAUAAGGAAAUCUCUUAGGCAUUCAUACCAUGCUCUUGGGGUUUGCUUGAGCCCAUAAAGCGUCUUUGAGAGUUUACAGACAUGGUUAGGGUACUCACUAUCCUCAAAGCCGGGAGGUUGCUCAACAUAGACCUCUUCCUUGAUUGGUCCAUUGAGGAAGGCACUUUUCACGUCCAUUAGAUAGAGCUUAAAGCCAUGGUAAGUAGCAUAGGCAAGUAAUAUGCGAAUUGACUCAAGCCUGGCUACGGGUGCAUAGGUUUCACCGAAAUCCAAACCUUCGACUUGUGAAUAUCCUUUGGCUACAAGUCGGGCUUUGUUCCUUGUCACCACACCAUGCUCGUCUUGCUUGUUGCGGAAUACCCAUUUGGUACCUAAAACAUUUUGAUUAGGACGUGGAACUAAAUGCCAUACCUCAUUCCUCGUGAAGUUGUUGAGCUCCUCUUGCAUGCCAACACCCAAUCUGAAUCUCUUAGUGCAUCCUCCACCAUGUAUGGCUCAAUAGAGGACACAAAAGAGUAAUGUUCACAAAAAUGAGUGACUCGAGAUCGAGUUGUUACCCCCUUAUGAAUGUCACCGAGAAUUGAGUUCAUGGGGUGAACUCUUUGAAUCGCUUGGUGGACUCUUGGGUGUGGCGGUCUUUGACCCUGUAUCUCUUGAUCAUCUUCCAUGUCUUGCUCAACUUCAUCUCCCCCUUGAUCGUUGUCCUCCUCUUGAGGUGGCUCAUCCUCUUGAUCUUCAUUUUCAUCAUUUUGAGCCUGAUCCUCAUCUUGGGUUGGUGGAGAUGUUUGCAUGAAAGAUGAUGGUUGAUCUUGUGCUUGUGUGCACUUCGGAUUCCUUAGGACACACAUCCCCAAUGGACAUGUUCCUUAGCGCGACGCAUGGAGCCUCUUCAUCAUCUAAUUCAUCAAGAUCAACUUGCUCCACUUGGGAGCCAUUAGUCUCAUCAAACACAAUGUCACAAGAAAUCUCAACUAAUUCAGAGGAUUUGUUGAAGACUCUAUAUGCCCUUGUGUUUGAGUCAUAUCCUAGUAAAAAGCCUUCUACAACCUUAGGAGCAAAUUUAGAUUUUCUACCUCUUUUAACAAGAAUAAAACAUUUGCUACCAAAGUCUCUAAAAUAUGAAACAUUGACCUUUUUACCGGUGAGGAGUUCAUAAGAUGUCUUCUUGAGGAUUCGGUGAAGGUAGAGCCGGUUGAUGGAGUAGCAGGCGGUGUUAAUCGCCUCAGCCCAAAACCGGUCCGGAGUCUUGUACUCAUCAAGCAUGGUCCUUGCCAUGUCCAGUAGAGUUCUAUUCUUCCUCUCCACUACACCAUUUUGUUGAGGUGUGUAGGGAGAAGAGAACUCAUGCUUGAUGCCCUCAUCCUCAAGAAAGCCUUCUAUUUGUGAGUUCUUGAACUCUGUCCCAUUGUCCCAUCCUCAAGCAAGCAUUUAAUUCAUGAAUCUUAGUAUAUAAAAUAGCAUUCUCUUUUCUAAGAUUGGAAAUAGAAACAUUGCAAACAUCCAAGUCUUUAGCCUUUGAAAUUAAACUAGCAUUUUCAAGUUUAAGGCUAGAAAUUGAUUCAUUCAAUUUAUCAAUCUUAGCAAUCAAACUAUCAAUUUCAUUUCUAAGAUUGGCAAUUGAAUCAUGGCAAUCAUUUGAUUUUUCAACCUUAGCAAUUAAAUUACAAUUCUCAGUUCUAAGGUUGAAGAUAGUGUCAUGGAAAAUGCUAAGCUCUUUAGUCAAGUUUUCACAUUUCUCUAUCUCCUAAGCAUAAGCAUUUUUCACCUUAACAUGUUUUUUAGUUUCCUUAAUAAGGAAUUCCUCUUGGCUAUCCAAGAGUUCAUCCUUCUCAUGAAUAGCACCUAUUAAUUCAUUUAAUUUUUCUUUUUGUUGCAUGUUAAGGUUGGCAAAAAGACUAAGCAAGUUAUCUUCAUCAUCACUAGAACUACCAUCAUCACUAGAUGUAGUAUACUAGGGGGUGGUUCUAGCUUGUACCUUCUUUUUCUUGUCGUCCUUUGCCAUGAGGCACUUGUGGUCGACAUUGGGGAAGAGAAGUCCCUUGUUGCCGGCGAUGUUGGCGGCGUCCUCGUCGGAGGAGGAGUCGGUGGAGCUCAUGUCCGAGUCCCAUUCCUAACAUAUGUGGGCAUCGCCGCCCUUCUUCUUGUAGUACUUCUUCUUUUCCUUUCUCUUUCCCCUCUUGUCGUCACCCCUGUCACUAUCACUUGACAUAGGACAUUUAGCAAUGAAAUGACUGGGCUUACCACACUUGUAGCACACCGUUUUGGAGCGGGGUUUGUAGUCCUUCCCCCUCCUUUGCUUGAGGAUUUGGUGGAAGCUCUUGAUAAUGAGUGUCAUCUCCUCGUUGUCGAGCUUAGAGGCAUCGAUGGGGAGCCUACUUGAUGUAGACUAUUCUUUCUUCUCCUCCAUCGCUUUGAAUGCGACGGGUUGCACCUCGGGUGUGGAAGUGUCACCUUGCUCCAAGUUGAUGAUUUGUUUGGAGCCUUUGAUCAUCAAUUCAAAGCUCACAAACUUUCCUAUCACUUCCUCCGGAGACAUUAAUUUGUAUCUAGGAUCCCCAUGAAUUAAUUGUACUUGAGUAGGAUUGCGAAAAACAAGGGAUCUUAGAAUAACCUUGACCAUCUCAUGGUCAUCCCAUUUUGUGCUCCCGAGGUUGCGCACUUGGUUGACCAAGGUCUUGAGCCGGUUGUACAUUGCUUGUGGCUCCUCUCCUUGGUUGAGGAUGAAUCGACCAAGUUCCCCCUCGAUCGUCUCCCGCUUGGUGAUCUUGGUCACCUCAUCCCCUUCGUGCGCGGUCUUUAGUACAUCCCAAAUCUCUUUGGCACUUUUUAGCCCUUGCACCUUAUUAUAGUCCUCUCGACAUAGAGAGGCGAGGAGUAUAGUGGUGGCUUGGGAGUCAAAAUGCCGGAUUUGGGCGACCUUGUCCGAAUCAUAUCCUUCAUCCCCUACGGAUGGUACCUGCGUUCCAAACUCAACAAUAUCCCAUAUGCUUGCGUGGAGUGAGGUUAGAUGAUGCCUCAUUUUAUCACUCCACAUACAAUAAUCUUCACCAUAAAAAACCAGUGGUUUGCCUAAUGGGACGGAAAGUAAAGGAGUGUGUUUAGAAAUGCGAGGAUAGCGUAGGGGGAUCUUACUAAACUUCUUGCGCUCAUGGCGCUUAGAAGUAACAGACGGCGCGUCGGAGCCGGAGGUGGAUGGCGACGAAGAAUCGGUCUCGUAGUAGACCACUUUCUCCAUUUUCUUCCUCUUGUCGCCACUCCAAUGCGACUUGACGCGGGGAGGUGAUUUCUCCCUUCCUUUGGCACCGGACUCCCUUGAUGGAGCCUUCCCGUGGCUUGUGGCUGUUUCCAUCUCCCUCUUGGCGUGAUCUCCCGACAUUACUUCGAGUUUUUAAACUCUAAUGAAGUAUCGGGCUCUGAUACCAAUUGAAAGUCGCCUAGAGGGGGGUGGAUAGGCGGAAACUGAAAUUUACAAACUUAAAGCACACUACAAGCCGAGGUUAGCGUUAGAAUAAAAAUCGAGUCCGAGAGAGAGGGGGAAAACAAAUCAACCAAGAAAUAAAGCAGAUGACACGGUGAUUUGUUUUACCGAGGUUCGGUUCCAAAGAACCUAGUCCCCAUUGAGGUGGUCACAAAGACCGGGUCUCUUUCAACCCUUUCCCUCUCUCAAACGGUCACUUAGACCGAGUGAGUUUCUUCCUUGAUUUCUCGGGUCACUUAGACCCCGCAAGGACCACCACACAAUUUGUGUCUCUUGCUUCGCUUACAAGGCUUUGAGAGUAAGAAUGAGAGAAAGAAGAAAGCCAACCAAGCAACAAGAGCAACAAAGAACAUAAGACGAUCUUCUCACAAGUCCUAAAAUACUAGAGUUGAAUUGUGGACUUUGAUUGGAUCGAAGGCUUUGAUUUGUGUCUUGGAGUGUUGUAUUUUGCUCUUGUAUUUAAUGAGGAGUAGUGAAUGCUUGGAUGGUUGGAGUGGAGAUGGUUGGGGGGUAUUUAUAGCCCUCAACCACCAAUUCAACCGUUGGGGCAGGCUGUUGUCGACGGGCGCACCGGACAGUCCGGUGCGCCAGCCACGUCACCCAACCGUUAGGGUUCUGACGGUUUCGACCGUUGGAGCUUUGUCUUCAUGUGGCACCGGACAGUCCGGUGCCGCACCGGACAGCUACUGUUCACUGUCCGGUGCGCCUCUGGCGACUGCUCUGACUUCUGCGCGCACUGUUCUUCACUGUUCACGUUGCAGGCGACCGUUGGAGUCAACCGUUGCGCUGGCUAGCCGUUGCUCCGCUGGCACACCGGACAGUCUGGUGAAUUAUAGCGAAGCGCGGCCUCAGAAACCCGAAGGUGAAGAGUUGGAGUCGAUCGCCCCUGGUGCACCGGACACUAUCCGAUGGUGCACCGGACAUUGUCCGGUGCGCCAGACCAGGGUUCUCUUCGGUUUCUUUUGCUCCUUUCUUUUGAAAUCCUAACUUGAUCUUUUUAUUGGUUUGUUUUGAACCUUUAGCACCUAUAGAAUAUAUGAUCUAGAGCAAACUAGUUAGUCCAAUUAUUUGUGUUGGGCAUUCAACCACCAAAAUCAUUUAUAGGAAAAGGUUAAACCCUAUUUCCCUUUCAAUAACUCAUCCAUAUACGUGGACACGGACUAUUCUAAUAAAUUUUGAACUCUGCACAGAGGUGUGCUCUCUAUCCACUAGUCCGGUUUCUGCAAUUUCAACGUCAUGAGUUUCGAAUACCGAAACUCUCUCCUCCCUUGCACGGCUUUGCCUUAACGGUUAUACCAAAAGGAACAAGGUAACCUCCUCACCCAAACCAGGAUGUAAUUAUUCCCCCACCUUGUCCUUUCGGUGCUCCCUAGCCACCGAUAAGCCAGGGGUGCAGACUGUGCAAGUUCAGAUUAAGCGACUGUCCAUACAGUCCCGAGUGGUUGUACUUGAUAAGAGUUUAGGUAAGGAGUGAUGACAAGCCGGUCCUUAUGCGAGACGGGACAAUCAUUCAUGCUCACACCUAACCCGGCUGAGCCAACUUCUUAGGGCCCUCCCAAACCAGGGAGUCCUGAUCAUCCCGCUCAUGGUGGUGACAGAGAUAAAUGUUCACCCUUUUUUUGAAAACAAGUUUCUUUUAAAAAAACUCACACCUUUUAUCAAAUCAUUUUGUAAUAAAAAUGUCAAGGAGUAUAAAAAAUUUUUGCGACAAAGUUCUAAGGUUGGGUGGCCAUAUUAACAUGUCUCUUAGUAGCAAAAUAAUGUAAUGCAUAAAAUAACAGGCUGAGUGAUGUGUUUGAAAGCAUAGAUAAUUUAUACAUCAAAGAGAUCUAGUGGGUUUGUCGUGCCUUAACUAGCGAAAGGGUGAGAGCUUGUUGUACUAGCUUCUGGCUUCACCGACUGGCAUGGACUUGCGGAACUGGCAUUCAUGGGACAUCACGAACGCUCCGAUAACUAUGCAGCAAGAAUAAGCAAACAUACAAACCAGCAAGUAUAUCAACUAAAAUUCUUUAUAGUGGUCAGGAAUGGUGGUGGAUGGGUGAAUAUAGAUUUGAGUAGAGUUUGUAUUGAUGGAGUAGAGAUGCUUACCCGACAUGCAUUUAGAUCGGCAUCCUCUUCAAUGAAAUCAAUUAAAUAAAGCUUAUCGUCUAAUACACCUUUAAAAGCUAAUGUACCAUCACUUAUUCUAAAGACAGAUACAUCAAUAUUUGUAAAGAAACAAUUACAGCUCAUAUGACAUAAUUGACUUAUAGAAAGCAAAAUGUAACCAAGCGAUUCUACUAAGAAAACAUUAGAUAUUGAAUGCUCAGUAAUGAUGGCUAUUUUACCCAAACCUUUGAGCUUGCCAUGAUUCCCGUCUCCAAAGACAAUCGUAUCUUGGGAAUCCUUGUUUUUGACGUAGGAGGUGAACAUCUUCUUCUCCCCCAUCAUAUGGUUUGUGCAUCCACUGUCAAUAAUCCAACUUGUGCCUCCGGAUGCAUAAACCUGCAAGGUGAUUUAAGCCUGGGAUUUAGGUACCCAACUCUUGUUGGGUCCUACAAGGUUAGUCACAUAAGACUUUGGAACCAAAAUACAAGUUUUGCCUCUCUUGCACUUAGGCCCCACAUUUCUAGCAAUAACUUUUUCAUUUUUACACAUAAGCACAAAUGAAGCAUCAUAAGUAUGAUAAAACAUAGUUGGACCAUUAGAUGCAUUCCUAGGCGCAUGGGAAACAACAUGAUGAGUAUGGCGCCUAGGUCUACUCCUACCAUGAACAUACAAAGAGGUAGAGGAUGCAAACAUGGCAUGUGAAUCAAAGGCAGCAUCAUGACGUACAGGUAAAACAACAUGAUUAUAACAACCAUCAUGAUGAGCAGCAUUAGUGGCAUUCUUAACAUGAGCAUACAAAUAGGCAUGGUUCUUUUUGUCAUGAAAAGAAUGAGAACUACUAGCCAUAGGUGCCUUCCCUUUCUCCUUGAUGAGAUUGGAGGCCCUUUGGCUUAAGUUCUUGGUCCCCUUUUGGAAACCAAGUCCAUCCUUAAUGGAGGGAUGUCUACCAAUGGUGUAGGCAUCCCUUGCAAAUUUUAUUUCAUCACACUCAUUCUUGCAAGUUUUAAGUUGGGCAUUAAGGUUUGCAAUUUCAUCAUUCAACUUAGAGAUAGUGGAAGCAUGAGUAUUGCAAGCAUCAAUAUCAAUUUCUUUACAUCUAUUGCAAAUAGAAACAUGAUCCAUAGAUGAACUAGCAACAUUUACUUUUUCUAGCUUAGCAUUUAAAUUGUUAAGACUAGAAAUAGAAUCACGACAAGACGAUAACUCAGAAGAAAGUAAUUCAUUUUUCUUAAUUUCAACAGCUAGAGAUUUUUCAGCAUUAAUACACUUAUCAUGUUCUUCAUAUAGAAUAUCGUAUUGUUUCUCUAGCAAUCUAUCCUUCUCAUUAAGGGCAUCAAUUACUUCAUUGAUUUUAUCUACUUUAGAUCUAUCUAAACCUUUAAAGAUAUCGCUAUAGUCUACAUCAUCAUCAUAUUCCUCAUCACUAGAAGAAGUGUACUUAGGGGUAUCUCGAGUACGUACCUUCUUCUCCUUAGCCAUGAGGCAUGUGUGAUGCUCGUUGGGGAAGAGGAAGGACUUGUCGAAGGCUGAGGCAGCAAGUCCCUUAUCGUCGGAGUCGGAUGAAGAGCAAUCUGAGUCCCACUCUUUGCCAAUGUGCGCCUCGCUCUUCGUCUUCCUGUAGUUCAUUGAUAAGUACGGGAUUAUCACUACUAUCAAAUGCAUUCCAUUUUCCACUAUCUCCCAAAUACUAGGAUGGGGAGAAAAUAAACAUUUUAUGACUCUAGAAAGAAUAAUCUUCUCCAUCAAAGUGGGGGGGUUUCCAAGUGGAAUAGACAAUAAAUGUGCAUUCGAAUUAUAAGGGAUGUGUGAAUAAUCAAAAGAAUAGUUUUGAUUAAUCGUUUUUUUUCGAUGAAGAGUCUUCGUCGUCGUCAUCCAUUGGUGAAGAAGAAGAGGUGUUGUUGUCGUAGUAGAUGUUCUUCUUGAUGCGCCUCUUCUUUCUAUCCUUCCUUUUGUUGGUUGAGUCUGAGUCGGUGGGCUUGUCACCUUUUGGCUCAUCAAAAUAGAGAGUCUCCUUCUCCUUCUCCUUGUCGUUGAUCACCAUCCCCUUGCCCUUAGGAUCCAUCUCUUCGGGUGGUUAGUCCCUUGAUGAAGAGAACAACUCUAAUAUCAAUUGAGAGCACCUAGAGGGGGUGAAUAUGUGAUCCUGUAAAAAACAGCUCAACAAAACAAACUUGGACUAAUAUUGAAUUAGUGGAAGCAAGAGCCAAGUUCGAAUGAGGAUUAUGAGCGGAGUAAACUUCUUCACUUAAUUGCUCUUCACUAUGUGAGCAUUAAACUUAGAGCAAUAAUGUAAGUGAAGUGGAUAGAGAGAAAAUCGCAGUAGGAUAAGGAUACGUGACACAACGAUUUUUAUCUCGUGGUUCGGUCAAGUAGAAUACUUGCCUACUCCACGUUGUGGCGUCCCAACGGACGAGGGUUGCACUCAACCCCUUUCAAGUGAUCCAAAGGUCAACUUGAAUGCCACGGUUCUGUUUAUCUCAACAAUACCCCAUUGUGAGUUAUCUCCACAAUUUGGAGUCUCUCACGCCUAACACAAAUGAUCUCAAAUAAACACAAGAGUAAGGGGGAAUAGAAACACACACAAGAGCGAGAGUUGCAGCAGCAACACACACACAAGACAAGAAAGAGCACACGAAACAACACAGCGGAGUUACAGCUCAAAGAAGUGCUCAAAUCUAUAUCACAAUGAAACGAAUGCGUGUUUGCGGAUUCUCGGCAUUGUAAGAUGUUUAAUGGGUGCUUGGUGUAAUGCUCCAUAUGCCUAGGGGUCCCUUUUAUAGCCCCAAGGCAGCUAGGAGCCGUUGGCGUCCCAUUUGUAAGGCCCUGGUUGCCUUCUAUCCGUGGACGCAGUCUGGUGCACCACCGGACAAUGAACAGUGUGUGAUUUCCUUCCUUAUUUGGCAAGACGACCAUUGUCAGCCACUGGUCCCACGGCGCAUCGGACAGGCUGGUGUCACACCAGACAGUCCAGUGUUGCAUGUUGACCGUUGGCUGAGCCACGUGUCGCCCGCUGAUCGCGCGGUCGAUCGUUAGCAGGGCGCGUGGCUGGCACAUCGGAUAGUCCGGUGCACAAUCAUGUCUUGUUUCAUCUCGUUUUCAUGUGCUUUUCCUAAAUAUAGGAUCUCCGACAGGGGGAGUAUAUCUUCUUUCAUACAAAAGGGGAGAAUAUUCUUUCAAAGGGGGUGAGCUCUCUUUUAGGGGGAGUAAUCAUUUUAGAGGGCAAGUCUUUGAUUGCUUCCUAUAUGAUUUUAAUGUCUUCCUUUUGGUGUUUGAUUCCAAAGGGGGCGAAGUUUUAGGGACCAAAGCAAAUUCAAAAUAUAUCAAAUAUCAAACACCACCCAAUUUAAAAUUUAAAAACUUGAGCUUACAAGCAGUUUUGGUUCUACAAGUGUUUUUGGUCUAAAAUAGGAAGUAUGUGGAUUAUGGUGUUAGGGGAGGCUUAAGCCCAUAAUGUCACGUUGUGGGGACAUUCAUGCAUCCUAGCAAGUAGAUUGCAUAUUUUUAUCAAAAUAUUUUUUAUAUUUGCUUGCUUUGGUUGUGUUGUCAUCAAUCACAAAAAGGGGGUUGUAAGGAAAAUGGACCUCGACCCAUUUAACUAAAUGAUUUUGGUGGUUGAUGAUCAACAUAAUCUGUUGACUAAUGUGUCUGCUAGUUUUUAUAUUUGUAGUUCAUAGGAUGUUAAAGUGACUUGGACUAAGGCACUGAGGAAGCAACACCUCAAAAGAAGAUAUUAUGAAACCAUAUGUGAAGAUCAAAAAGUAUCAAGCAAAGUCCAAGACAUGAAGAGAGUGUAGCCACUCGCGAACCAUCUGUCCAAGUGCAGCGGAUUGUCCGAUGGCUCACCGGAUAGUCCGGUCCACCCGGUGGACUAUCCGGUGCACCAAGAAAUAGUAGUCCAACACCUAGUUCCUGGUGGCACAGUGGAGGAAAGCCACUGAAUUGUACGGUGCACCACCGGACUGUCCGGUGUGUUGCAGAGAGCAGUAGCUUUUCUGCAAUGGCUAUAUUCGAGUUGGGACCUAUAUAUAUUUCACCCAACCGGCCAUUUGAAGGGGUGGCAGUCCAAGCAACUGCUUGGGAGUCCUUGCAAUUUGAAUAAACCAAGAUCUUACCAUGACUGCAAUUUUAGAGAGACGCGAAAGUACAAGCCUGUGGGGUCGCUUCUGCAACUGGAUAACUAGCACCGAAAACUGUAUUUACAUUGGAUGGUUCGGUGUUUUGAUGAUCCCUACCUUAUUGACCGCAACUUCCGUAUUUAUUAUCGCCUUCCAACACAUGUUAUAGACAUUUCCAAGUGCUCA